rnacentral:rRNA from 1 species
UGGGGAAUAUUGCACAAUGGGGGAAACCCUGAUGCAGCGACGCCGCGUGAACGAAGAAGGUAUUCGUAUCGUAAAGUUCUGUCCUAUGGGAAGAUAAUGACAGUACUAUAGAAGAAAGCUCCGGCUAAAUACGUGCCAGCAGCCGCGGUAAUACGUAUGGAGCGAGCGUUGUCCGGAAUUAUUGGGCGUAAAGGGUACGCAGGCGGUUUAAUAAGUCGAAUGUUAAAGAUCGGGGCUCAACCCCGUAAAGCAUUGGAAACUGAUAAACUUGAGUAGUGGAGAGGAAAGUGGAAUUCCUAGUGUAGUGGUGAAAUACGUAGAUAUUAGGAGGAAUACCAGUAGCGAAGGCGACUUUCUAGACACAAACUGACGCUGAGGUACGAAAGCGUGGGGAGCAAACAGG